rnacentral:lncRNA from 1 species
UUUUGUUAUAUAAAGUAAAUCAAAUAAAACCGAUAAAACGAUAGGAAAACACAUAUAUAUUAAAUAGGAAUAAAAAAUACUUUAAAUAUUCUGAUAGCUUUGAAUCGGUCCAUAUAACUUUCCUUAAACAGAAUGGUCUACAAUCUUGGAUUGUCUCAUUUAGUGUAGCAAUAGAGGCAGCACAGAAUGAUCUACAACCUUUUGGUUGUCUCGUUUAGAGCAUCUCCAACCGUUCGGCCCCCAGGGACAUGAAAUAGCGCCGUCUGGGAUGCCGGCGAAAAAA